rnacentral:rRNA from 1 species
UGCGUAGGCGGUCUGCUAAGUUGGAUGUGAAACCCCCGGGCUUAACCUGGGGCCUGCAUCUAAUACUGACAGACUAGAGUGCAGGAGAGGGAAGCGGAAUUCCUAGUGUAGCGGUGAAAUGCGUAGAUAUUAGGAGGAACACCAGUGGCGAAGGCGGCUUUCUGGACUGUAACUGACGCUGAGGCACGAAAGCGUGGGGAGCAAACA